GAUCAUGGCUCAGAAUGAACGUUGGCGGCGUGGAUAGGCAUGCAAGUCGAGCGGGAGUAGCAAUACUCCAGCGGCGAAAGGGAUAGUAACGCGUAGUUACCAACCCCCGGGACUGGGAUAGCUUUUGGAAACGAAAGGUAAUACCAGAUAACAUCUCCGGAUCAAAGGUGAGAUUCCGCCUGGGGACGGGACUGCGUCCUAUUAGUUAGUUGGUGAGGUAAUGGCUCACCAAGACGACGAUGGGUAGCGGGCGUGAGAGCGUGACCCGCAUCAUUGGGACUGAGACACUGCCCAGACACCUACGGGUGGCUGCAGUCGAGAAUCUUCGGCAAUGGACGAAAGUCUGACCGAGCGACGCCGCGUGCCGGGAUGAAGGUCUUCGGAUUGUAAACCGCUGUCAAGUUGGAGGAAAUGUCCAGAGGUAAUCCUUUGGAUUUGACCGAGAGCAAAAGGAAGGACGGGCUAAGUUCGUGCCAGCAGCAGC
rnacentral:rRNA from 1 species